rnacentral:tRNA from 1 species
CAUGGCUGAGUGGUUAGGGCCUUCGGCUGACGACCGUAAGGUCGUGGGUUCGAUUCCCAGUG